rnacentral:rRNA from 1 species
AACGAACGCUGGCGGCAUGCCUAACACAUGCAAGUCGAACGAGGCCUUCGGGUCUAGUGGCGCACGGGUGCGUAACGCGUGGGAACCUGCCCUUAGGUUCGGAAUAACUCCCCGAAAGGGGUGCUAAUACCGGAUAAUGCCUUCGGACCAAAGAUUUAUCGCCUUUGGAUGGGCCCGCGUUGGAUUAGCUAGUUGGUAGGGUAAAAGCCUACCAAGGCGACGAUCCAUAGCUGGUCUGAGAGGAUGAUCAGCCACACUGGGACUGAGACACGGCCCAGACUCCUACGGGAGGCAGCAGUGGGGAAUAUUGGACAAUGGGCGAAAGCCUGAUCCAGCAAUGCCGCGUGAGUGAUGAAGGCCUUAGGGUUGUAAAGCUCUUUUACCCGGGAUGAUAAUGACAGUACCGGGAGAAUAAGCGCCGGCUAAGUCCGUG